CAGUGCUCCCUAACAGCCCGUGGCGGGACCUCACCACUGAUCUACUGAGUCCAAUACCAACAGCACAGUCAAUACAGGCAAAGAAGCUACCACCUUCUAACCCUGAAAAACAACGGAGGGCUAGUGAUUCCAUCAUAAGGCACAGUGAAGGUGCUGAGAGCUGCAGAGAGGGUGACCCGCCAAGCUUCACCAAUGCAAGCUCCUAAGGUGUCGACAGACACAGACAUCGUCCGGGAGGAGAUUGGAACCGAAGAUGUUUUUCUGCUUGGGGAACACAUUGAGGAGACACAGUUUGGCAUCGACAACCAUCAUUCUGACUUGUUGUCAUUGGUUGUGUCUGUGUUUCUCAAAAUAAGGCUGCACCACAUUACCAAACUCACCUCUCUUGAACUGCAGAAAGGGAGCACGAGGAAGAAGCUCUGCAAAACUGUCCUCUUUCAGGGGUUUUAGAGCGUGUGCGUGUGUGUGUGUGACAAUUCAAGACUUUAAUCCUAAAUUCCAGCAUCCCAAAACUAAUCCUAAUCUUUAUAUCUGUACUUUAACCUUACUCAUCACACAUAGUAUCUUUAUGUCAUAUCUGUCAUCAUUCUGAAAAGAUUAACACUGAAACUGAAAGCAAUGGCUUAAAACUGCCUGGAAACAGUGGUCUGUCACAUUAUAUGUGAUUACUGAGUAAGUGUUGGUGGGUCUGUAAAUACCUCUGUUUGUGUUUCAUGAACUCGCCUCAUGGUGUGUGUCUCCAAGAAUCAAAAUGUUGGUCUCCUUUGCCUUACACUGGGUUUGCGAGAUUGUGCAUAGUGAAGUUUAUCUUUACAUUAUGUCUUUGUGUUUGUGAUUGUCUUAACCCUGAUCUCUUUCCCUCUUGGUUCUGUAAAGCACUUGUAACUGUGUUUUGAAAAUUGCUACAUUAAUUAAGUUUGCAGACUUUUCAAGGGAGUUUCAACAAAGUAAAUGUGCAGUUUAAAUAAAAACUGUCACUUUUCAUUUCAUCCUGCUAUUUUAGACAGAGUACUGGGACCUGUGUGUGUAUGUUGGGAGGGGGGCUGCGAAAUGAAAGAGAGAGAGAGAGAGAAAGAAAAAAAUAUAUAUCUGACUUUACUGCCACUAUUUACACAUUAGGUGUUUCAAUCAGAAUGAUAGUCAAAUUGGAAAUGUCCCUGUUUUUCUCCCUUUUUGGGGAUUAUGUUCCCAGUUUUGAUCUCGGACGUCUGGUUACUUUACAUCAUAUAUCAGAAUAUUCUAUUCCUGCACACAAUGAAUAUUAAAAUACGCCAAACCAUGUGUCCUGUAUCACAGCUACAUGUAUGACUUUGCAGCAAAAAAAACUGCUUGAAAAUCAGUAAGGUAUUCUAUAGAAG
ensembl:lncRNA